rnacentral:rRNA from 1 species
AUUGCCUCAGUAGCGGCGAGUGAAGCGGCAAGAGCUCAGAUUUGAAAUCUCACCUAGUGUGCGAGUUGUAAAUUGCAGGUUGGAGUCUCGGGUUAGACGUGUGUGCAAGUCCCUUGGAACAGGGUGCCACUGAGGGUGAGAGCCCCGUAGCGUGCAUGUCGACACCUGUGAGGCCCUUCUGACGAGUCGAGUUGUUUGGGAAUGCAGCUCUAAGUGGGUGGUAAAUUCCAUCUAAGGCUAAAUAUUGGCGAGAGACCGAUAGCGAACAAGUACUGUGAAGGAAAGAUGAAAAGCACUUUGAAAAGAGAGUGAAACAGCACGUGAAAUUGUUGAAAGGGAAGGGUAUUGGGCUCGACAUGGGAUUUACGCAUCGUUGCCUCUCGUGGGCGGCGCUCUGGGUUUUUCCUGGGCCAGCAUCGGUUUUCGUUGCAGGAUAAGGACAAUUGGAAUGUGGCUCCUCGGAGUGUUAUAGCCUUUUGUAGAUGCUGCGUAUGGGGACCGAGGGCUGCGGCGGACUCGUUUCGUCUCGGAUGCUGGCACAACGGCGCAAUACCGCCCGUCUUGAA